UUCACUUCUUCGCUGGCUUGCUUGCGCGGUGGUCGUGAGCUGGAGCUAGCUUAGGUAUAACCUUCAGAAUAAUUGUUUACAAAAUAAAGUCUAACAGUACCCUCAAUAAUUAAAACUUUUAUAAAAGUGAAAUAUUUUCUGUUUUGCCGUACUAACAAUACGGUGUUUUUCAAACUUUUCUGCGGCCGAUGGACUAAGCGAUAAUGGGGUCCUGCUGCAGUAAAGAGCCGGGUCCUGUGGAACCCUACGUUCCAUCUCCAGGCCCGGUGCCUUCAACCACCCAAGGUAUAACUGAGACCCGUGUGGUGGCUCCUAAGUUGGUUGUCGAUCCAAGAAUCGUCGAUGAACUUAUCAUGGAGCUACUUGCGUUGAUCGCUUCGUUCGUCGACAAUGAAGAGGAGUCCCCCGUCUCCUUGGUGAAGCUCCACGUCAUUGCGGAAAAGGAGGAAGGAUGGUUCCAAGUGGUGUCCUCAAUGGUUAGGAUUAUACCACUCGAUAAUCCUCUGGGACCAUCCGCCAUCACCAUCGUCUUUGAUGACUGCCCUCUGCCUUCCAAAGAGCAAGUUAUCAAGCUUACUCAAAUACUCGGCUUGUCUGCCAUGCGCGCCCUCUCAGCCGAGAUAGACGUGCAAGUAGAGCGCAACAUAUGUGUUGUGCUCGGGUGUAUUGCUGACAAGUUAGCCGGCCCCAACAGCGUUGCCGUGCUGACCGAAGAAACCCUUGAUUACAUGUUAUCAUUCUUGAUGUUCCGUCGUGAGCCGCGGAUUGUCCUGUUCGCUCUGAUAGCGCUUGAAAAGUUUGCUCAUACAACUGAGAACAAGUUGACUAUAAAGGAGCGCCUCAACAAGGAGGAUGACAAUCCUCUGCUGCUUCUUGAGCGUCACGCGAACAGUCAGGACUAUACCUGGCGCCAGGUCGGAUUCUGUGCCAAAUGGGCACUCGACAAUCUGUUUACCGUGGAAGGGCGUUGUCUAAGUUACCAGACUGUAGACAUGUCAAAGAUUCAUGCCCUCAUGAACACCCAGGAUGUCAGCGAAUACUUGAAGAUAUCCAGCGAUGGACUGGAGGCCCGUUGUGAUUCCUACUCGUUUGAGAGUGUCCGCUGCACCUUCCCGGUGAACAGCGGCGUUUGGUAUUAUGAAUGCUUGAUCAUCACUCCAGGCGUUAUGCAGAUUGGAUGGGCAACCAAGAGCAGCCAUUUCCUGAAUCAUGAGGGCUACGGUAUUGGAGAUGAUAUUUACUCUCUGUCGUACGACGGUUGCCGUCGCUUGAUAUGGCAUGGGGCCAAGCCUACUCCUGUGCCUGACGUGCAAGGAUGGCGCCCUGGAGACAUAGUGGGGUGCCUCAUUGAUAUGGAUGCAGAAGAAGCAAUCUUUACAGUAAAUGGAGUCCACGUCCGAACCUGCACGCACCUCUUUAAAGUGUCUCGUCAAGGGUUCUUCGCUGCGGCAUCGUUCAUGGCGUUCCAGCAAUGCCGAUUCAACUUCGGCGUUGAGCACUUCCGUUACCCUCCUAACCGCCCAUUCAAGAUCUUUAAUGAGCACGGAUCUCUAUCCGAUGAACAGAAAAGGGUUGUGCCUCGUCGCAUCACCCUGGAGCUGCUCCGCGCCACUGCCGUAAAGGAGAACGCUUGCACCUUGUGCUUCGACGCUGACUCUUGCUGCAUUCUGGAGCCCUGCCAGCAUAGGGGCUUCUGCUCGGUCUGCACUUCUCAGCUGAAGGAGUGCCCAAUGUGCCGCGCCGCCAUCUUGCGGAUCCGUAUGGAGAGUACAUGACAUGGGGACGCGGACGCGUCGUCCAGCAGCGAGCUGACCAACACGGUCACGUUCAAGGGCUCGCCGACGCCGCCCUUCAACCGCCGCAGGAGAAACCCGCCAACGCCGGCCGGGUCAUCGUCGUCCUCCAACCUGAGCUCCGUCUGGUCCCCCUCCAUACCAGCUUCCGACUACCCUAGCGAUGAAUGCGACAUUGCAUAUGUAAGAUAUCUCUAGGCCACUGGCUGCUUGUCACACGUGCCUAUACUAUAUGUGUGUUGUUGUCCCUCUCUGGCCUAGCCAGCAUCGAGUACAUAACCUUGUAGUCGACUAUUGACCCACUAAUAAACGAUGACUCAAAUAUAUCUUGAUUUAUCUAACAAUUGUUUGAUUUUACAGUUGUUAUGAAGUGACGUAACAGUCGGUAGAUAAUGUAAUAUAAUUAAUUUAGGAGUAAACUAUACCGACUGUGAAUCAUACCUAAUUAUAUAAAUGGGUAUAUUUUGUUACAAAUAUAUUUUUUUACAUUUUGAUCUCAUUUUUCCAUGCACAUCUCUAUAUUAGCGAUGUGUGUCAUGCUAUAUUCUACCACUCAUUUCUCCGUCCACUUUCUCUUACUGUCAUUCUUAUUACCAUGGCGCUUGAGUCACCAGUUGUAUAAAAAUGUUAAACAAAGAUAUUUUAAUAAUAUCAUCUUGACAAUUUACUUUAUCAACAAGAAGAGUAUUCUUUGCAUCCAUCUAUUUAGUUAUGUACUCGAUGUCAAAAACUAAUGAAUAUAUAGAUUUGAAUGGUCUUACAAAAUGUUUAGUAGAUACGAAACUACAAACAGCGUCGUGUAUAGACGGAUACACAAAUAGUCAAUGAUACUAUUAUCUCACUUCCCGUGCCACCCGUGUGUAUCUCGACAUCCUAUCAACUAAACGGAAUUAGAUUCUACUGCUGUAGCUUACCACUCCUUUACAACGUAUUUUGUUAAAUAUACAGUAGAACCGUCUCCAUUUAAGAGUUAUUAUUUAUAAGAAGUAUCCUAAUUUGCAAGACCAUAAGAAAUCAUUGUUCAUUUGUGCAUUGUCACUUUCAAUUAUUUUCGUGUCAGUGUUUUCGUGUUGGUGGUAGUAAGUAAGUCAUUACAGUUCAAAUUGUCUAGCGUAGUAUGUGCUACGGUUACCGUGUACUAAGUUUUUGUAAAAUAGUUAAUAAUGAACUUAACAAUAUUAACCGUUGCACGUACUCCAAUAGCGCUUGUUACCCCGCCGAUCUCAGAAUGUCGUCCCGUGUUAUAGCUUGUCACGCAAACGAAAGAAAUAUCACUUUUUUAACACGAAGCAAUCAAUCAACAUUAUAUAGUCAAUCUCCAGCACAUUAUUACCGUUUUUCUCAUAAUCAUUAGUUGGCGCAUUCGAAACGUAGGUCUCAUUAACUAGAUUACUAGAUGUUGUUGUUUCGUGAAUGAUAAAAAUUCUUAAUAAUAGUUUUCAAAAGCGAAUAAAAUUUUAUCGACUGUAUUCUAGAAUAAUGUUUAAUAAUUGGAUAAUAACUUAGAAAUUGAAAGUGUCAGUUAUUAAUUAGAAAAUACGUAACUGUUUUCUGUAAUAACGUAUGACACGGUUGUGUUAAUAAAUAGAAGACUAAUUAAAAUUGUAUCCAGCGUGUAUUUACUGUAACAAUAUUGUCUAGCAAGUCAACUAACAGUCUAGCGCAUCUAACGACGCAAAAAGCGAAGUAAAUCCCCUUACGUUAAUACAUUAUUCCCGAUUAUAAUUCAACUGAUAUAAACUUUCAGCGCAACUACAUACGUGCAUAAAACAUGAAGAUUUCGCUUGCGUGAUGUGCGGCUAUAACACAUUUAAUGUCGUUCUUGAGUACCGUGAGGGAUAAGAUCCGUGCAUCAACGUGGAGGAUACUACCUUUUAUCUUUUAAUGUUGUUGUCUUCGUAGAGACAUUGUAACGUGUAGCUAAAAUGUUUGUAGCCCACCUUAGGUGGGCCUGUCUAUGUUUCAAUGAUAUUGUAUGUUACCACUCCUGUAACGGAGAUAUUAUAAUCUAAACAUUCCUUCACGUUUUAUCUCGAUGUUGUACUUGCAAGUACUUUAUGUAGUAGUGUUUAACCAACAUAUUAAUGUCUAAGGGAAUGCAGAUAAGCGCACAGUAUGCUAAGAUCAUAUACGAAAAAUCCUUAGAUAUAUAAAAUAUAUAUUCUCUUUAAAUAAUAUUAGAAAAAUGAAUCCAUUACUCUUCCAUUUCGAAAAAAAAGGUGAGGCCUUGCUUAGUUUUAAAUGGAACUAUCUAGACUGUAAAGUGACCAUUAAGGGUAUUGUUCGAAUAAGGAAUGGUUACAAGGUGCGAUGUUAAAAUCGAAUUUAGAGUGUAAGGAGCGGGAUAAUACGUGAUUGGCCUUACCGUUCAAACACAUCCCCGGCCCUAACUAUCCAUACAUUCAGAUAAUAUAUUUAUAUAUAAAUCUAUACUCCUAAUACCUACAUUACUCAGAAAACAGAUUUUGACUUGAUGAAGAAUUGUUGAGACAUAAUAUGUUGAUGUUAUUAGAACUCGUGUUAAAAGUAGUAUGUUUUGCCGUAAAUAUAAAAUGAAAAAAAAAUAAAAAAAAAUGUAGAGUAGACAUGUGUUACGUAGUCAAAUUGUUAUUCAGUAGUGAAUUGGUGUUGAAAUUCAAAUAAUCUUAUAAUGUUUAAUCGUAGAAAGCCAAAAGGCAAGUAAGUUGUUCCAAUCGUGUGGCUAUACACCUUCAAUCAUUCAUACGUCAUGAUAUAAUAAUAUUUCGAAAUUUAUAAUAUAUAUAUAUAUAAACUUCGUGCCAAAAGAAAAAAUUAGGGUUGAAGGAAUUGAAAAAAUAUUUUAAUGAAUAUUUUAAAUUGUUGGUGGUGCCCUACCAUACGAACUUAGUGGCGACUGCUGUAACUUCCCAGCAUUGCCCCGGCUUUAAAAUAUUAUAUAAUGAGCAACGUUAGGGUAAACGACAUGUAAGAAGUAUACAAAACAUAGUGAGAUAUACGUGACUUAGAAAUUAACUUGGAGCCCUGUUGGUGCUAGAGAGUGAAACUAUAUGACUAUAUUCAUAUCUGCAAUUAUAUUAUGAAAGUAAACUCUGCAUAAAAUAUUAGUAUUUUAUAAAAAUAUACUAAUCGUUCUUGGAAAAAUCAGGUCAAAAACAUAUAUUUUUAUAAAUAGCAAAUCUGUAAACUUGUCAUCAAAAUCUUGCUCCCGUUACGGUUGAUAUAUUUUGGUAUAUGUAACAGUGUAACAGUAAAUUAUUACGUCCAAAAAAGUAAUCCUACGCUAUCUCUUAGAAAUUGCUUAAUAGUUUAGAUUUUGUUAAAAUUAACAAAUUCAACGAAAACAAUACAAACAACUAUUUUUGUAACAUUUACUCCUUUCUACGUAAUCCUUAUAAAGUUUUCUGUAACCGGCCUAAGUAGAGACCGGCUUAAAAUCUUACAUUAAAACCUAUCCCAAAUAUUUAUUUUUGUAUCAACAAUAUAACGAAUAAAUUAAGGAACGGAACCGAACGAAUUUACGAAUGUUAAAAUUUUUAUGAUAAGGAAAUUGAUUCGCACAAUACAAGCUAUGAAAGCAAUUGUGUUCUUGCGAGUUUACUUUUUUCAUAAUGGCCUAGAACUAAUUGAAAGAAACCUAAUCAGACACUGACAGUAAUAUGAGAGGGCUUUUACGAGUUACCGACUACUCGUAAGUAGGUAUAUGUCGUGUGGUUGUAUCUUGCAACCGCAUCGCCAAGUAAAGUGAGUGAUUUGAAACCUAGUGAGAGCUUUUUAAAGCAACGUACCUACUGAGAUAUUUUCCCAAUAUAACGUAAAUUCUAUUAACUAGUCAUUAGAUUGACCAAUACUGCGUCCAAACGAACAUGACGCACUUUAUUAGUCAAAUGAAAUUGGAACAGCGUUCAUGUCCUCGGACAUUUUCCGAAGUUAAAAUCAUCUGAUGUCUUUGUACGGACGUCAUUUUGGUCAUUAAUUACAUUCUAAUCUUAAUAUAAAAAAUCCUGAUAUAACUUGACAUAUUUUAGGACUUAUCAACUUCUACAAUUAUAUAAAUGAACGGAAUAAGGGUUGGAUUUCGCACAAGUACUAAAGUAAAAAAGUAAAGUAAAAUUAUGCUAGCCUAAUAACUAGAUAAUAAUAAUACAUUAUUUUGCUUAAAACUAUGGACAGAAAAAUAAUAGGACUAAUACUAAUCGCGAAAACUAAUCUAAUAAAUUUGUCGCGAUUUGCUUGAACUAGGUUUAUGCAACCAUCACUUUAUUACUAUUCAUGUUAAAUCUAUACAGGUUUGUAUUAUCACCUACUUAAAUAAAAUUUAGAAAUUUUACAACAAAUUAAUCUAUGUAUGUGACCUACUUAAAUUAAUUGACCUUAAAGACUAAUUAACUACGUCAGUACAUCUAAAAGUUUUUCUGUGUCAUUAUGAUUUAAUUUAAGCAAGUACUCCGUUAUAAUGUUACAACAUUUCUUAUGACUAAGGCUGUAUACAUUACAAGAUUUAUUUAUCUUAUUGUACAAAAACAGUAGGGAUCAUAUCUCGGAGAAGGAUAGGCUCCUCGGAAGCAUUAGGUUUGGGCUCAGAAGGAAACCUUCUCUUUGGUGGCACUAUCGAGGUUAAUUCUUGGUCUUUUGGGGUCAGAAAUUUCUGCAUCAUUGUUAUCAGCAUCGACUGUUCUUUUUCUGCUAGAGCUAGUACCGGGUAGAUCGACUUCCAUUUUCAGUUGAGUUAUUAAAAACAAAUCAGUUCACAAGACGAGUCUGUUUAUACUUCGUCAUUUUAGUCAGUACGGGCACCAGCGCCUUAUAUUGGCGUUCUAGUACGUAUAAAGGAAUAUAUUUUCAGGCAUAUUUCGAUAUAUCUAUCACAAUCACUUGUUGGAAUAUCAUGUACAUUACUUAUAUAUUUCUAUAUAAAAAAAAAACAUAUUUUCUUAAACUCAACUUCAAAUAGCUGUACGACGUUGAUCACUCAAUAUUUUAUGAGUCAUUUACUGGAUUAAUCCUUCCAUGAUCACUGUGUAUGUGUAGUGGUAAACUUAUAACUAUAUGUGUAUUUAUGUAUCUUGAUGUUUAAAACUAUAUAAGUACAAGAUGGUAAUUUGUCUUCGAUGAUGGUAUUAAAUGAUGGGCCUCUAUCUAGUGAGACGAAACGAUUUGGGAUAUAUGUUACAUAAUGGAAUAUUAUAAUCGUUUAGUAAAUUAGAAAAAAAUUGAUGUUCUUGCAUAAUUAUUCUUCAUGUAUACCGUAGUGAGUAGAGGUUUCAAAGAAUUGUUGUUUAAAUCACAAUAAAUGUUAAUGGAAUUA